AUGGCCUCCUCGGCUUCCUCCUCCAUCUCCCCAGCAGCCCUCCCAGCCACCACUCCACCUCCACCCCCCUCUCCCUGCCCCCCUCCCGAUCCAGAUCCAGAUCCCUUGCUUGCUGCCGCCGUUGGAGGGCUGGAGGCUCCCGUCCCUUGCUCCCUGGGGUGCUCUGAACUCCUGCUGCCACCUCCUCCACCUCGCCUUCCCGCGAACUCUACGCCAAAGCUGGUUGCCGAGGCACCUGUGACGUCUUCCGAGCAGCCUUGGGUGGAGGUUGGGGGACAGCAUCGUUCGCGGAUGGAGAAGGCGCCUGCUCCAUCUCCCAGGAAAGGGGUCGGUGUCUCCCUCGCCUUCAAGAGGAGAACGUAUGGCCGCUGCUUCCGUUGCCUCGCGUCGGAGCACUUUGUGGCUGACUGCCGUGACCCUAUAAGGUGCCUGGGUUGUGGCAUCUCUGGCCACCGCGAGCGGGAGUUCCCGACGCGCCUUCCGGCCAAACAAGCUUCAACCCCCCACUCCCCCUCGCAUGCGGCCUUUCCACGUCGGUCACCGGAUGCGCCACCCUACCACGCACCUCCGCCAUAUCCGCCACAUCGCUCGUGGGCCUCCGUUGCUGCCUCUCCGGCUGUGCUCGUUCAGGAGGCGCCUUGUAGCAACUCCGGCUCCCCCUGCUCAGGUCUUGCCGACCUCGUCAAGUCUUCCAUUGCUGCUGAAUUGGGGCUGCUGCAACCCCACUUUGCAGCUCAGAUCGAGGCCCUGCACACCGAGGUGCAAGCACUGGCUGCCACUCGUACAGAGGAGGUCAUUCAGCCUCUCCGCGACAUGGCGUUCGCUCUGCAGGGUUGGGCGGUUCAGGUUUCGAGCCUCUUAGAGCGGCUGGAGGCUAUCAGUGGCAGUGUUGUUUCUUCGCCGGCCAUCAAUGGGUCUCCUGAGGUGCAGGAGGAUGGGACUUUGAGGAUCGGUGGGGGACCUUUCUCUUCCUCGGCGCCGAUGGAUCCGCCUCCCCCCUGGUGUGAGCAUGAGGAACCGGCACCUCUCGUUGUUGCUUGUGCUAAGGGUGUCAGUGAGACUAGUGUGGUUGGUUGCUCGUCUGAGGUACUGGCUACUAUGGCGCUUCCUGCAGAUGUUCUUCCUACUUUGGAUGUAGUUUUGCACAAGAUGAUGAUUCAACACGAGGAGGAGCAAGGAACGGUUGAGGAGAUAGUCAAAAUGAGUAAGGACAUGGAGCAGAUUGAGGUGGUUUUGCCCACUGCCGCGACCCUAUAA
rnacentral:rRNA from 1 species